AGCAGCCGCGGUAAUUCCAGCUCCAAUGGCGUAUAUUAAAGUUGUUGCAGUUAAAAAGCUCGUAGUUGAAUUUCGGGGUCAGUAAGUUGGUCGUGCCACUGGUAUGUACUGGCUUUACUGAUUCCUCCUUCUUGUAGAACCGUAAUGCCAUUAAGUUGGUGUUGCGGGAAAACAGGACUGUUACUUUGAAAAAAUUAGAGUGUUUAAAGCAAGCUAACGCUUGAAUACAUUAGCAUGGAAUAAUGAAAUAGGACGAACGAUCCUAUUUUGUUGGUUUCUAGGAUUGACGUAAUGAUUAGUAGGGAUAGUUGGGGGCAUUAGUAUUCAAUUGUCAGAGGUGAAAUUCUUGGAUUUAUUGAAGACUAACUACUGCGAAAGCAUUUGCCAAGGAUGUUUUCAUUAAUUAAGAACGAAAGUUAGGGGAUCGAAGACGAUCAGAUACCGUCGUAGUCUUAACCAUAAACUAUGCCGACUAGGGAUCGGAUGAUGUUAAUUUUUUAAUGACUCAUUCGGCGCCUUA
rnacentral:rRNA from 1 species